CUUUUAAAAAUACAACCUAAUGUCUACUUUUCUGUUUUGAUUCUAGUAUUUAUUGGAGAUCCAUCUAGAGAUAUACACAUACCAUAUUCCGUACUGAAAAUAGCAAAAACCCAUUUGCGUCCAGACCUGGCAGCCAAAUACAUCAUACUCCACUUGUUUCCAGAAGAAGUCCUAAUUGAAAGUAACGUCUAUGGCAAUAUGCAGUGUGGCCUGUUCGCCCUUGAUUCCAAUAGGAUUGAUGCUCUCCGAGAAUUUCUUCAGGACAACUACCCUGAACAUGAUCUAGAAGAAACGGGAUAUCAUUGGAAAUUGUGUGUGACAGCCAUCAACAGCUGUCUGCAAAUCCUUAGACAAGGCCCAAGGAAUGUCACAGUCUAAUCAUUCUAAUUCCUCCCAACAACUCUUUCCACGGAGUCAACCAGACAUGAAACUAACUGAUUGCACUUACCCAAUUUUUUUCUAAAAUAGUAGAUCAUUUUGUAAGUUUCCAAAGUAGUAAUGCCAGAUUUAGCAUGUCGUAAUGAUGACGUUUUGUACUGACUACCAAUUAACCAAAGAUCUUUUUCUGUUUUCAAGAAUUAGUUUGUCUCUGGACAAAGUGGGGAACAGUGUACUUCUUUCUUGAGCUUCCAGUUAGAG
rnacentral:lncRNA from 1 species